rnacentral:lncRNA from 1 species
CAGGCAUUAAAUAUGCGUUGAAAAAUGAUGACUAUGUGGACUAAUCGGAUAAGGUGGUGUACUUCACGAAUUUUCUAUACCGCCCAUGGUAAACAAAGAAUUUCUCCUAUGCACACUGAUAGUAUGAGAACUAAAUAGGCCGAGGGCCACUUUUUACGGCCCACGAUUCCCUGGAUUUGCACUCUUUUGUUUUAUCAUUUAGUAAAUAUAACUUUUAAGUCUAGUGAUCUGAACCCUA